UCUCCCCGGGACGGCUUACUCGGCAAGUCUAUUGUCUCGCGGACAAGCCCACCCACACAACGCGCCGUGUAACGCGCCGGUAAAUAUUCGCCCGUGCCGUUGUGAGUGUUAAUUCCGACGGCUCAUGAGUCCCCUCUAAUUGUCCUCGGCGCCAGAUGUGGCGACGUCACCCAACAUCGGCUCUAUUCAGCAGCGAAUAGUCGAAAAGUAAGCGAGUACCGAGAAGCGAGGUGUAAGAGAUUCUCUAAGCUCAUCCUCGCUCUCAAUAAAUUACCCAGUUGGAAACUUGGCAUUGUGAAAAAAAUAUGGGCCAGACCGACACGUUGCGUACGAAGUAGCUGACUAGGAAACGACACGAUAUCGUGAGAAGAGUAACGGUGCGGGAAGAGGUCUCUGUAAUAGAGGUUUAUUGGCAAUUAAUCUUCCGGGCCGGAUGUGCCCGCUUCGUCGGGCACGAUACACUUCCGUCUCAGCGAGCGACCGGUAAACCGAGAAGAGAUGUAUUGCAUCGUACCACGAAAUCAAACGUACGUCCUUCUCUCCACUUCCUCCCAGUUGAUACCAAUUCCCCGGUCUACCUGCCGUGCGUCUUUGUCAGUUGCGCCGGAAGUGCAUUGUUUCUGAAGUACGAUUCUCGGGAGAUGUCCGUCAACCUGAUCUUGAUCAAGUGGCCUGUAGUGCUGUUUCCGCGUCGGUGAAACAGGAAGGUGCAACGAGAGAACGUUGUAUUUAAUUAGCGUUCCUUCGUCAGUCGUGUCAGAAAGAGGAAUCUUACGGUCGGGUUGCACGGCCACGUAUGAAAGAAAUUCGCGGAAAUAUGACUUUUAUCAUGAAAAUGUAAUGUAUGACUAAUUAGUUUUGUAAAACAGGUAGACAAAUUGCGUUACGUUUAUAACUACUUCAAAAGAUGGGCCCCUGUAAUUAAAAUAAUUGUUUACAAAUGGAGAAGAUUUUUUCUUUUAUAUUUAUAAAAAAAACACACGAUAUCAAAUAUAUCUAUUUCGUAAUUUCAUCGUGAAUAAAAGUUGCGCAGCAACGAGUUGCGCGUUCAGAGGACUACAUCGUGUGAUCAUUUCCAUUUUCGAUCUACGUGAAACCUCAGAACACGUCCGCUCCUUGUGAGACGUAAUAGAUACAGUGGUCAUAUCGUUGAACUACGGUAAGAUAGUGGGAUUGGAUUUAUACUGAACAUGUUCAACGAGCCGUCGAAUCGAAUUAUGCAUGAGAACAUUUUUUCAUAGACUUUUCGUCGAAUCGGAAUGUUCAUAUCGCAUCGCUAAAAAAAUUUUUUUAGGUAAAAAAUAUGGCAUCGAGUGUGGAUUAAAGUUGCUGCGAGUAUCGAUCUUCGAGGAAAUCAACUGAGAGAUGUUCCGCGAAUCGCACCGAAAAGUUGCAUCUCAGCUCGGAUUCUUUGACGAUGAUACUCGAACGAAUCGGCGCGGCGCAGCAGGACGCGGCGCGAAUCUGUUGCAAGCAGGCAAUUGGAGUGGAAAAGUUGGACAGACGAGAUUCUCGGUUUAACCCGAGCACGAAUUGAAAAUCUUUUUUUGGCAGGCAAUCGACUGAUGCUUGAUCUUCGAGACGUAGCAUAGUUAGAGACGACUACAGAAGAAGACAUUUUAAAUCAGGCAUUUGGCGUGAAUAGAAAAUUGAUUUUCUAUAUGCAGAUAUAUUUUAACAUCGUUUGCUUUUUUUCUAUAAGAAAAAGAGUCGGAUAUCCAAUUGAGGUUCUAAGAAAACAUUCCAGUGGAAAGGUGCGAAAAUAAACAAUCGAAAUAGCAUUGCCGCUUAAAUGUUUCCAACUACUGAAAGCGUCGAGUGAGAGAUGAAUCCAAGCUGAAUCAGAUCAAAGGAUAAAGUCGUCUUGUUUCCACUGUCAUCCAACACUUUGAUCUCACAUAUACGCGAUACGUUACUCCUCAACGAAGGACAAUGGUAUAAAGUUUCCAGUCGUUCUCAAUCGCUAUACUCACCUGACGUGGAAACAGGGAUGAAAAGCAGCUGGAUUAUCCUGUGCGGAGAAGUUCGGCAAAGUACCAUGAAGCAGAGCGAGCCGUACCACAAGAAGUAUGCCAAACUGCAAACAUUAAACGGUCGAUGAAUUUUCAUAUUGUUAUAGACGGGUAUUUUUCUUUACGAAACAUUCAAGAGUACUUUAUAUCAAUGCAAUGCGAAGUGCAGAUUUGAAAGCGCUUCAGUUAUUCUCGCACAAACCUAACAAACUUGUUUUCUUUCAUGUCUUUACGGUGCUAGCAAUUAAAAGAGGAAAACUUAUAAAUUAUUUUGGCACAAAAAUUUUACAUAGUCGUGUGGAUAUAACAAAUGUGAUAACAUCGAAUCAAGUGUCUCUUGUUUCAAAUUAAAAUGCAUUUGCAUUGCAUUCAUAUCUACAACUUUGACGUUUCUGUUUUAUCACACAUACAAAUAAUUGGAUUAUAAAUUACAUUUUGGAAGAUAAAAAGAACGAGAUAUAAAACAAAGCAACCGUAAGAGAGGCUAUAUUUUUAUACUCAAAUUGCGGAUCGUUGAUCCACUGCACGCGAUAUGAUAUAGAGACAUAAAAGUUUUACGCAGAAAUAUAGAAACUUUUAUGCGAUUCUCUAUGAUACGAUGGAAUAGAUAAAAAUGAAGUUAAUGAUGUAAUAGCAAACAGAUGACAAAGAAAGACAAAAUUUCAUGUUCUCAACAUGUCUACCAUAAUAAA